rnacentral:rRNA from 1 species
GAGAGGACAAAUGGCAAGUCGUUGGGCUCAUGCCCUGAAGAAGUGGGUUCGAUUCCCGCCUCUACAGUCUUGGGUAAAAGGAAAGGGAGAGAGGGGGAAAACUAAGAUGGAUUAAGCUGGACGGGAAGUUCGAAAGAGCGAAGAAGAAGCUUUAAACUCGUGUUUCAAUGCGGAGACGUAAUGAAGAGAACUGAAAAAUGAAUCAUCUUAGUAUCAGAGUGAGGCAGAGAAAUCAAACGAGAUUCCGUAAGUAGCAGGGAGCGAAAGCGGAGGAGUCCCAGAGAGUGAGUAAAUAAUGGAAUAAAGGAGUUCACAUAUCUAAGACUAAAUGUUAAUCCAUACUGAAAGCGUGAGUACUGUAAAGGAAAGUUGAAAGAGACUUGAAAAGAUCUGGAAUCUUGUCUUUUAAAGCAACUGUAAGACAGUGUACCUUUUGUAUAAUGGGUUUAUGAGACAUCGUUUGGCAAAUUUAAGUAAAGAGGAUAAAAAUGUAGGUGAAGAGAAGUCGAGAGGGCUCUUUAGUCAAAUUUCCCGAAACCAAGUGAUCUAACCAUGGACAGUUUAAUGAACGAACCGGUGGUUGUAGCAAAAACCUCGGAAGAUCUGUGGUUAGGGGGGAAAGCCCAAUCGGACUUGGCGAUAGCUGGUUUUCUGCGAAAACUAUUGAAGUAGUGCGUUUACAUAGGGGCUAGAAGAUGCAAAUAUAAUUUACACAUAUGGCGCUCUAUUAAAAUUUUAAGGUAAAGACUUAUCGUUUUAAGAGGGAUAGACUUUAAAGAUAACAUUUGAAGUAGACAGACAGACAAUGGGCAAAUAGGUUCAUUGUUAAAGGGGGGGAGCCCAAAUUAGAAGUUAAAGUCAAAGAUUCAAUAAUUAAGUGUAAAAGGAGUAUGGGACUUAGACAAUGAAGAGGUAGGCUUGGAACCAGCCAUCUUUGAAAGAAUGCGUAGUAGUUCAUUCAAGAACUUUUUUUCCCCAAAAAUUAUGGUGGCUAAAAAUUGAACUGAAACUCUAGGGGCAGUCAGUGAUUUGCUUGGUAGUAGAACAGACUGUUGGGUGGUGGUACGAGCCCAAGAAUCAGAAGCGAAAAUGUGAACAUGAGUAAAAAAAUUGUUGCUUCAUCUCCCCUGGUUUCCAAGCUAAAAAUAUCUGAACGAAGAAGUUUGGGUGAAACAGUCUCUAAGGAGGGUGCCGAUGGGGGAUAGUAAAAAACGCAUAAUGUGCCAGGAAAUAAUUAAAACAAAAGAUUACUGUCGCAAACUAACACAAGUGGGAGAUAGUGAGGGGGAAAGUUUUUUUAAGGAACUCGGCCAGUUAUAAGCUUUCAUUAGAAGUUAAAACACAAGGCCUCGACUGUUUACCAAAAACAUAGCUCUUUGCGAAUAUGAAGGUAGAAGUAUGAAGGGUGAGACCUGCCCAAUGGUUAUAUCUUAAAAGGUUAGUAGGGCUAACUUAAUAAAGAUAAUUAAAUGGCCGCGGUAACACUAACCGUGAAAAUGUAGCGUAAUCAAUAGUCAAUUAAUUGUUGACCGGUAUGAAUGGUGUCACGAGGGUCUCACUGUCUUAAGGAAAUCUCCAGUGAAAUUGAAUUUGUAGUGAAGAUGCUACAUCCAAAUUGUUAGACAAGAAGUCCCCAUGGAACUUUACUGGAAACUUAUGAGGCUGACUUAAAUAGUUUUAAAAUGUAGUGCGGAUUAACUAGGGUUAAAAAGCGCACUUUUUUAUUUGAAGAAAGGCAACUCAAAAACUUGUGUUUUUGGGAUUUGAUAAGUGGGACAGUUUGGUUGGGGCGAUCGCCUUUAAAAAAGUAACGAAGGCGGGCUUAAGAUAUAUAUUUUGUUAUGUCUGACUGCCAGGGGGAGACCUAGAGCAGACACUUAUCUCUGGAUGGUGGGUUAAAGUGACCCGUUAAUUUAGGGUGGAAUAGUUAACGAUAAACAAAUAAAAGUUACCCUGGGGAUAACAGCGUAAUAACGUCAGAGAGUUUUCAUCGACGACGAUGUUUGCGACCUCGAUGUUGAAUUGUGGCAUCCUGGGGUGCAGUUGCUCCCAAGGGUUGGUCUGUUCGUCCAUUAAAGCCGUACAUGAUUUGAGUUAAAAGCGUCGUAAGACAGCUUGGUUUCUAUCUACAAUUUGAAAAAACAUUAAUAUAACUCUUUUCUAGUACGAAAGGAUCGAAAAAUGAGUGGUUCUCUUAUUUUUAUAAGUUACAAUCAAUGGAUUGACUCGGAUGCUUUUUAAAGGGGGUUUUGGUUAAUUGCUGAUUGCUUCUAAAGUAUGAAAAUUAUAUUAAGUUGUUUGAGGUCCGGGAAAAGAAUUGUUAGGGGUUAGCUUGAUCGGGGGAGGGUUGUUUGUUUUAAAAACGUAUGGGGCAGAGAUAUCUCGGUUAUAUUGUACUUAGCUUAUCAGAAUUAUGGGAGACAGAGGUUUAGGGUG